rnacentral:sRNA from 1 species
ACUUUCGAAAGUAAUUCUGCGAUUUAUUUAUAUUGAUUUUAUUAUAUGUUCGCCUAUCCUCCGAAAAAAUUAUAUAUAAUAAUUAUUUUGUAAUUUUUUGAUAUUCGCGAUUCAUUUGUAACUUCAACAUAGAGAAGGUACGGCACUGCCACCACCACACGAACCCACACGGGUCCACUGAUAAAGGAUAACGGUGUUGUGUUCUGUUGGAGGGAUUGGAUUAGGUGAUUCGUACACUCUAUACCACCACAGCGCUAGUGGUGAUUGAGCUCUUUUGCCCCAGUGGUCUAGUAAAUUAUGAGCCUGUGUAAGUGCUACAGGGUGUGUCAAAAUGCUAUCACAGAUUCAAAUCAGAUCAAGGCCAGAAUAAUAUCUCCUACUAAUGCACAUUCUCUUGCCAAGGUGGAUUAUUAUUAUUAUUAUUCUUCCAUUUAUAGAUGUAUGAUAUCUACCUGAAAGAUUUCAGGGUUUUUCAAAUCAAGAAUUAUCUAAUAUACAAAAUCAAUUUAGUACAUGCAAUAACAAAAUUUCAGCCCAGAAUCAAACAACUAUUUUUGCCAAAGUGGAGGAGCUUGAUGAUUAGACACUUAGGAAAAACCCUAGGACUAAUGGCAGU